rnacentral:rRNA from 1 species
CAGAUUGAACGCUGGCGGCAUGCUUUACACAUGCAAGUCGAACGGUAACAGGGAGCUUGCUCCGCUGACGAGUGGCGAACGGGUGAGUAAUGCGUCGGAACGUGCCGAGUAGUGGGGGAUAACUAUCCGAAAGGAUAGCUAAUACCGCAUACGCUUUGAGAAGGAAAGCAGGGGAUCGUAAGACCUUGCGCUAUUCGAGCGGCCGACGUCUGAUUAGCUAGUUGGUGAGGUAAGAGCUCACCAAGGCGACGAUCAGUAGCGGGUCUGAGAGGAUGAUCCGCCACACUGGGACUGAGACACGGCCCAGACUCCUACGGGAGGCAGCAGUGGGGAAUUUUGGACAAUGGGCGCAAGCCUGAUCCAGCCAUGCCGCGUGCGGGAAGAAGGCCUUCGGGUUGUAAACCGCUUUUGUCAGGGAAGAAAUCUUCUGGGCUAAUACCUCGGGAGGAUGACGGUACCUGAAGAAUAAGCACCGGCUAACUACGUGCCAGCAGCCGCGGUAA